UUCAAUCAUGAAAUAAGUCAGUUAAAUACCUCGAAUGUCGGGCUUUAUGCUAUAUAAAGCCCUCCUUCUCGGUAUUUAACUCUUACUUACUACUUUUGGAUUUUUUGUAUUUCAUAUGAAAUUGUCCAAUGUUUUUUGGUGAAUGAAAAUUGUCCAAUGUCUGUAGGUGAAUGUAAACCUUUCCAAUGUCUGUAGGUGAAUGUAAAAUUGUCCAAUGUCUGUAGGUGAAUGUAAAAUUGUCCAAUGUCUGUAGGUGAAUGUAAACCUUUCCAAUGUCNNNNNNNNNNNNNNNNNNNNUUGGGUUAUAAUAUCUCUUUUCUAACACCAAAGUCGGGGAGCGGGUAUUUGUUUGGCACAAAAGCAAUCAUUGGGUACAAAGGCACUAAUGCCUUUUUUAUUGUUCUAAAUCAAAUGUUUGUUUUGGGAAAUUCGACAUAAUAUGAAGUACGCAGUCUGAAAUUAAAACCAAGUGACCUUUAGGAGCACUGAUUUUCGUGGUCUACAUGUGAUCAAUAAAAUAUAUUAUUACUACUUUUGGAUUUUUUGUAUUUCAUAUGAAAUUGUCCAAUGUUUUUUGGUGAAUGAAAAUUGUCCAAUGUCUGUAGGUGAAUGUAAACCUUUCCAAUGUCUGUAGGUGAAUGUAAAAUUGUCCAAUGUCUGUAGGUGAAUGUAAAAUUGUCCAAUGUCUGUAGGUGAAUGUAAACCUUUCCAAUGUCUGUAAGUGAAUGUAAAAUUGUCCAAAUCUAUAGGUGUAUGUAAACCUUUCCAAUGUAUGUAGGUGAAUGUAAAAUUGUCCACUGUCUGUAGUUAAAUGUAAAAUUGUCCAAUGUCUGUAGGUGAAUGUAAACCUUUCCAAUGUCUGUAGGUGAAUGUAAAAUUGUCCAAUGUCUGUAGUUGAAUGUGGUCUUUCAAUUAGUGUAUGCAACUCUUUGUGUGGUUGUAAUAUAUGUAUGUGAUUGAAAAGCUGUGCGCAUGUAUGCGAUCUUUGCAUACUGUUCAUCCGUUUGAAUUGUUUUUUGUGUAUAUUGUACUUUUGAAUUAUUUCCAAUGAAGUUGGAAGUACCUUCCUGCCCAAGGGAACUUAAGUCGCACAAUGCUGUUAUGCCCUACGAUAAAACACAAAGAAGAUGUCAUCAAAGAUGGAGACAAAGUCUGAGCAAAAACCAUCCAACAAAGUUCCAGCACGAGACAAGUUAAAGCAGCUCACUCGCAUUAAUGAAGAAAUAAAACAACCAAAUACAAGCCAGGAAUCGUGUGGAUAAUGAUGAAGAGGAAACAAGCCAUAUAAUAGACAUUGGUGAACUAUUACUAUAAUGAACCGGAAUAACGUCAGAUGAUAGUAGGUAGAUUGAGUACAAAAUCAUUACCAUCACAACUUUUUUUAUUAUUACUAUGAACAAGUAUAAGUUGUGUUAAGUAAAAAAGAAGACAAAAGUGAUCCAUAAUUUAAAGGAAAAUACUGAAAAAGCAAC
rnacentral:lncRNA from 1 species